rnacentral:rRNA from 1 species
GACGAACGCUGGCGGCGUGCCUAAUACAUGCAAGUAGAACGCACAGUUUAUACCGUAGCUUGCUACACCAUAGACUGUGAGUUGCGAACGGGUGAGUAACGCGUAGGUAACCUGCCUGGUAGCGGGGGAUAACUAUUGGAAACGAUAGCUAAUACCGCAUAAUAUUGAUUAUUGCAUGAUAAUUGAUUGAAAGAUGCUAUUGCAUCACUACCCGAUGGACCUGCGUUGUAUUAGCUAGUAGGGGAGGUAACGGCUCACCUAGGCGACGAUACAUAGCCGAACGGAGUGGGUGGUCGGCCACCCUGGGACUGUGACACGGCCCAGAGUCCUACGGGAGGCAGCAGUAGGGAAUCUUCGGCCAUGGACGAAAGUCUGACCGAGCAACGCGGCGUGAGUGAAGAAGGUCUUCGGAUCGUAAAGCUCUGUUGUAAGAGAAGAACGGGUGUGAGAGUGGAAAGUUCACACUGUGACGGUAUCUUACCAGAAAGGGACGGCUAACUACGUG